rnacentral:rRNA from 1 species
AGUGAACGCUGGCGGUAGGCCUAACACAUGCAAGUCGAACGGCAGCACAGUAAGAGCUUGCUCUUACGGGUGGCGAGUGACGGACGGGUGAGGAAUACAUCGGAAUCUACUUUUUCGUGGGGGAUAACGUAGGGAAACUUACGCUAAUACCGCAUACGACCUACGGGUGAAAGCAGGGGAUCUUCGGACCUUGCGCGAUUGAAUGAGCCGAUGUCGGAUUAGCCAGUUGGCGGGGUAAAGGCCCACCAAGGCGACGAUCCGUAGCUGGUCUGAGAGGAUGAUCAGCCACACUGGAACUGAGACACGGUCCAGACUCCUACGGGAGGCAGCAGUGGGGAAUAUUGGACAAUGGGCGCAAGCCUGAUCCAGCCAUACCGCGUGGGUGAAGAAGGCCUUCGGGUUGUAAAGCCCUUUUGUUGGGAAAGAAAAGCAGCAGGUUAAUACCCCGCUGUUCUGACGGUACCCAAAGAAUAAGCACCGGCUAACUUCGUG